AUUGAACGCUGGCGGCAUGCCUUACACAUGCAAGUCGAACGGCAGCACGGGGCAACCUGGUGGCGACUGGCGAACUGGUGAGUAAUGCAUCGGAACGAAACUUUCAGUGGGGGAUAACGUAGCGAAAUUUACGCUAAUACCGCAUAUUCUGUGAGCAGGAAAGCAGGGGAACGCAAGAACUUGCGCUGAUUGAGCGGCCCAUGUCAGAUUAGCUAUUUGGUGAGGUAAAGGCUCACCAAGGCGACGAUCUGUAGCGGGUAUGAGAGGAUGAUGCGCCACACUGGAACUGAGACACGGUCCAGACUCGUACGGGAGGCAGCAGUGGGGAAUUUUGGACAAUGGGGGCAACCCUGAUCCAGCCAUGCCGCGUGAGUGAAGAAGGCCUUCGGGUUGUAAAGCUCUUUCGGCCGGGAAGAAAUCGCACGGGCUAAUACCCUGUGUGGAUGACGGUACCAGAAUAAGAAGCACCGGCUAACUACGUGCCAGCCGCCGCAGUAAGAC
rnacentral:rRNA from 1 species